GACAGAGGGUGCAAACGUUGUUCGGAAUUACUGGGCGUAAAGCGUGUGUAGGCGGUCCACUAAGUCGGGUGUGAAAGCCCUGGGCUCAACCCAGGAAGUGCACUCGAAACUGGCGGGCUAGGGUAUCGGAGAGGUUGGUGGAAUUCUCGGUGUAGAGGUGAAAUUCGUAGAUAUCGAGAGGAACACCGGUGGCGAAGGCGGCCAACUGGACGAAUACUGACGCUGAGACACGAAAGCGUGGGGAGCAAACAGG
rnacentral:rRNA from 1 species